rnacentral:rRNA from 1 species
UACGAAGGGGGCUAGCGUUGUUCGGAAUUACUGGGCGUAAAGCGCACGUAGGCGGAUACUUAAGUCAGGGGUGAAAUCCCGGGGCUCAACCCCGGAACUGCCUUUGAUACUGGGUAUCUCGAGUCCGGAAGAGGUGAGUGGAAUUCCGAGUGUAGAGGUGAAAUUCGUAGAUAUUCGGAGGAACACCAGUGGCGAAGGCGGCCCACUGGUCCGGUACUGACGCUGAGGUGCGAAAGCGUGGGGAGCAAACAGG